GAAAUCGUAAAGCUGCUCUGGCUCUGUGUGGGGUGAAAUGACUGAUGCAGUCCAUCUAGCAAAGCAAUCACCAGAAGAGAACACCAUGAGCUUUAUACAUAAAUCAUAUUUCAAAUGUACUUAUUUGAUAAACCAUACAAGUUUGACAGAGCUGCAAUUGUUUGCAUUUUCCUCCUGGACCAAUGAGUGCAGAUUACUCCUGACUGGUGCUGACAGCAUCUAUUCCCAUCUUCCCUGCUAGAAUUAUUAGCAGGCACCUUCGUGCCCUGCUGUGCCAAGCAGGGAUUCCUGACAUGCAAACACAUGUAAAUAUCAUGAGUACCAUCUGACAAAUGUAAAAGGAGCAGGAUGAGGAAAGUUGUAUGGAUCCACUUCAGGAGGAAUUAGUAACAAUGAAGAUCUAGUUAGACAACAAGUAAAAAUGAGUCACUUGAUCCAAACUAAAUCUUGAAUGAUGGAGUAUGCAGCUACCAAAGCUCCUUUUUAAGGAAAUGUGCAUCCAUGACAGAGGAGAGCUGCAAAAGGCAGUAGCUUUGCUGACUUCAGCCUAGGAGAAACCUUAACACUGCAGGACAAAGCUGAUUGUCCACACCGAGUUUUAUUGAUGCAUCUGCAUAUGGACAGGUGUAAAACACCCGAUCUAACUGGAACUGCUGAUCUUUUCCUUGUGUAGCGUGAAUUGGUGCGAACCAAGAAUCAUCAAAGUGUGCAAAAACACCAUCAAAUGCAGAUCAAACCCCUUCUGAAUGAAGUAUUACCUUUAAAAAGAAGAAACAACAUUUAUGCUGCUUAUCUUGAGACAGCUAAACUAUACAUGUUCUUAUAUCUAAUUCCCAGCACAGUCCAGAUUUGCUUGUCAUAUACACAGUA